UAAUACGUAGGGGGCAAGCGUUGUCCGGAUUUAUUGGGCGUAAAGAGCGUGUAGGCGGCCAGAUAGGUCCGUUGUGAAAACUCGAGGCUCAACCUCGAGACGCCGAUGGAAACCAUUUGGCUAGAGUCCGGAAGAGGAGAGUGGAAUUCCCGGUGUAGCGGUGAAAUGCGCAGAUAUCGGGAAGAACACCCGUGGCUAAGGCGGCUCUCUAGUACGGUACUGACGCUGAGACGCGAAAGCGUGGGGAGCGAACAGGAUUAGAUACCCUGGUAGUCCACGCCGUAAACGAUGGGUGCUAGGUGUGGGGGGUGUCGACUCCCUCCGUGCCGAAGCUAACGCAUUAAGCACCCCGCCUGGGGAGUACGGCCGCAAGGCUA
rnacentral:rRNA from 1 species